UGAGGAAUAUUGGGUCAGUGGGGCGGGGAGCCUGAACCAGCCAAGUCGCGUGAGGGAUGACGGCCCUAUGGGUUGUAAACCUCUUUUACAAGGGAAUAAAGGACGCCAUGCGUGGCGUUUUGCAUGUACCUUAUGAAUAAGCAUCGGCUAACUCCGUGCCAGCAGCCGCGGUAAUACGGAGGAUGCGAGCGUUAUCCGGGAUUCAUUGGGUUUAAAGGGUGCGUAGGUGGCUUGUUAAGUCAGCGGUGAAAGUCAUUGGCUCAACCAAUGAAUUGCCGUUGAAACUGGCGAGCUUGAGUACGUACGGGGCAGGCGGAAUGCGUGGUGUAGCGGUGAAAUGCAUAGAUAUCACGCAGAACCCCGAUCGCGAAGGCAGCCUGCCAGGCCGUGACUGACACUGAU
rnacentral:rRNA from 1 species